UCCCGCAACGAGCGCAACCCUUAUCCUUUGUUGCCAGCACGUAAUGGUGGGAACUCAAGGGAGACUGCCGGUGACAAACCGGAGGAAGGUGGGGAUGACGUCAAGUCAUCAUGGCCCUUACGAGUAGGGCUACACACGUGCUACAAUGGCAGAUACAAAGUGAAGCGAACUCGCGAGAGCAAGCGGACCACAUAAAGUCUGUCGUAGUCCGGAUUGGAGUCUGCAACUCGACUCCAUGAAGUCGGAAUCGCUAGUAAUCGUAGAUCAGAAUGCUACGGUGAAUACGUUCCCGGGCCUUGUACACACCGCCCGUCACACCAUGGGAGUGGGUUGCAAAAGAAGUAGGUAGCUUAACCUUCGGGAGGGCGCUUACCACUUUGUGAUUCAUGACUGGGGUGAAGUCGUAACAGGGUAACC
rnacentral:rRNA from 1 species